ACUCCUACGGGAGGCAGCAGUGGGGAAUUUUGGACAAUGGGCGAAAGCCUGAUCCAGCAAUGCCGCGUGAGUGAAGAAGGCCUUCGGGUUGUAAAGCUCUUUUGUCAGGGAAGAAACGGUGAAAGCUAAUAUCUUUUGCUAAUGACGGUACCUGAAGAAUAAGCACCGGCUAACUACGUGCCAGCAGCCGCGGUAAUACGUAGGGUGCAAGCGUUAAUCGGAAUUACUGGGCGUAAAGCGUGCGCAGGCGGUUUUGUAAGUCUGAUGUGAAAUCCCCGGGCUCAACCUGGGAAUUGCAUUGGAGACUGCAAGGCUAGAAUCUGGCAGAGGGGGGUAGAAUUCCACGUGUAGCAGUGAAAUGCGUAGAUAUGUGGAGGAACACCGAUGGCGAAGGCAGCCCCCUGGGUCAAGAUUGACGCUCAUGCACGAAAGCGUGGGGAGCAAACAGGAUUAGAUACCCCAGUAGUCCCA
rnacentral:rRNA from 1 species